rnacentral:rRNA from 1 species
UACGGGGGGGGCAAGUGUUGUUCGGAAUUACUGGGCGUAAAGGGCUCGUAGGCGGCCAACUAAGUCAGACGUGAAAUCCCUCGGCUUAACCGGGGAACUGCAUCUGAUACUGGAUGGCUUGAGUUCGGGAGAGGUGAGUGGAACUGCGAGUGUAGAGGUGAAAUUCGUAGAUAUUCGCAAGAACACCAGUGGCGAAGGCGGCUCACUGGCCCGGUACUGACGCUGAGGUGCGAAAGCGUGGGGGAGCAAACAGG